ncrna:unclassified sequences pemK RNA
AUAAUGAUACUUCUGUCUAGUCAUAGACUCAAUCAAUGAGGGCAGUUUUGUGAGAACCACAAAGAGGUGAAAUUCCUAUGG